rnacentral:tRNA from 2 species
ACUUGUGUAGCUCAGUUGGUUGAGCACCGGACUUCUGAUCCGAGGGCCUUGGAUUCGAAUCCCAAUACAUUUA